UACGGGGGGGGCAAGCGUUGUUCGGAAUUACUGGGCGUAAAGGGCGCGUAGGCGGCGUGACAAGUCACUUGUGAAAUCUCCGGGCUUAACUCGGAACGGUCAAGUGAUACUGUCGUGCUAGAGUACAGAAGGGGCAACUGGAAUUCUCGGUGUAGCGGUGAAAUGCGUAGAUAUCGAGAGGAACACCUGCGGCGAAGGCGGGUUGCUGGGCUGAUACUGACGCUGGAGGCGCGAAAGCUAGGGGAGCGAACGGG
rnacentral:rRNA from 1 species